rnacentral:rRNA from 1 species
UCCUACGGGGCGCAGCAGUAGGGAAUAUUGCUCAAUGGGGGAAACCCUGAAGCAGCAACGCCGCGUGGAGGAUGAAGGUUUUCGGAUUGUAAACUCCUUUUGUUAGAGAAGAUAAUGACGGUAUCUAACGAAUAAGCACCGGCUAACUCCGUGCCAGCAGCCGCGGUAAUACGAAGGGGGCAAGCGUUGUUCGGAAUUACUGGGCGUAAAGGGAGUGUAGGCGGUUUAGUAAGAUAGUGGUGAAAUCCCAGAGCUUAACUUUGGAAUUGCCAUUAUAACUAUUAGACUAGAAUUACAGAGAGGAU